UACGAAGGGGGCUAGCGUUGCUCGGAAUCACUGGGCGUAAAGCGCACGUAGGCGGAUUGCUAAGUCAGGGGUGAAAUCCUGGAGCUCAACUCCAGAACUGCCUUUGAUACUGGCGACCUUGAGUCCGGGAGAGGUGAGUGGAACUGCGAGUGUAGAGGUGAAAUUCGUAGAUAUUCGCAAGAACACCAGUGGCGAAAGCGGCUCACUGGCCCGGUACUGACGCUGAGGUGCGAAAGCGUGGGGAGCAAACAGG
rnacentral:rRNA from 1 species